UACAGAGGGUGCGAGCGUUAAUCGGAAUUACUGGGCGUAAAGCGUGCGUAGACGGUUAUUUAAGUCGGGUGUGAAAGCCCCGGGCUCAACCUGGGAAUUGCAUUCGAGACUGAAUAGCUAGGGUACGGUAGAGGGAAGCGGAAUUUCCGGUGUAGCGGUGAAAUGCGUAGAUAUCGGGGGGAAUACCAGUGGCGAAAGCGGCACCCUAGCGUUAGCCUGACGCUCAUGUGCGAAAGCGUGGGGAGCGAACGGG
rnacentral:rRNA from 1 species